rnacentral:lncRNA from 1 species
UUUCUAAUGUAUAUUUUUCAUAGAACCCAGCAUUUCUCGUUGUUCAUUGAUUUUUCUGCCAACACUUGUUAGUUGUUCUUCUUCCCUUUUAGGAAGUUCUUUGAUAUAAUCUAUUUUGUUUUCCAAUUUUUCUAAUUGGUAGAUUAUAUCUGAAAAUUUUUCUAGAUGAUCUUGACAUCUAGAUAUUUCUUGUACCAGGUUCUGAUAUUUCUCAUCAGAAGAUUUUAGUAGAGAAUUUAACUUCUCUAAUAUUAAUUCAGACAUUGUCCCCAUUGAGGAUUCCCCUUUUGAGCUUUUUUUACAAGCUCUGAUACCAGUGAUUUGCGGAUCUA